rnacentral:rRNA from 1 species
UACGUAGGGUGCAAGCGUUAAUCGGAAUUACUGGGCGUAAAGCGUGCGCAGGCGGCUAUGCAAGACAGAUGUGAAAUCCCCGGGCUCAACCUGGGAACUGCAUUUGUGACUGCAUGGCUAGAGUACGGUAGAGGGGGAUGGAAUUCCGCGUGUAGCAGUGAAAUGCGUAGAUACGCGGAGGAACACCGAUGGCGAAGGCAAUCCCCUGGACCUGUACUGACGCUCAUGCACGAAAGCGUGGGGAGCAAACAGG